AUGGUAGCUUGUGACAGGACUGGUCCUUGGGGGAGCAAAGCCAUCCCAUCUGCUCUGUGUUGAGCUUACCGUGC
rnacentral:miRNA from 1 species